CAAAGUUGAUCGUGUUUAUGACGUCGAAUAUCGACGUCAUAAACAUCUAAGUUUAUCGUGUUUAUGACGUCGAAUAUCGACGUCAUAAACACCAAAG